GGCGNUCAGGAAAGUCUGGAGUAAAAGGCUAUGGCUCANCCAUAGUGUGCUCUGGAAACUNUCUGACUUGAGUGCAGAAGGGGAGAGUGGAAUUCCAUGUGUAGCGGUGAAAUGCGUAGAUAUAUGGAGGAACACCAGUGGCGAAAGCGGCUCUCUGGUCUGUCACUGACGCUGAGGCUCGAAAGCGUGGGUAGCGAACAGAAUUAGAUACCCUGGUAGUNCACGCCGUAAACGAUGAGUGCUAGGUGUUAGGCCCUUUCCGGGGCUUAGUGCCGGAGCUAACGCAAUAAGCACUCCGCCUGGGGAGUACGACCGCAAGGUUGAAACUCAAAGGAAUUGACGGGGGCCCGCACAAGCGGUGGAGCAUGUGGUUUAAUUCGAAGCAACGCGAAGAACCUUACCAGGUCUUGACAUCCCGAUGCUAUUCUUAGAGAUAGGAAGUUACUUCGGUACAUCGGAGACAGGUGGUGCAUGGUUGUCGUCAGCUCGUGUCGUGAGAUGUUGGGUUAAGUCCCGCAACGAGCGCAACCCUUAUUGUUAGUUGCCAUCAUUAAGUUGGGCACUCUAGCGAGACUGCCGGUAAUAAACCGGAGGAAGGUGGGGAUGACGUCAAAUCAUCAUGCCCCUUAUGACCUGGGCUACACACGUGCUACAAUGGUCGGUACAACGAGUUGCGAGCCGGUGACGGCAAGCUAAUCUCUGAAAGCCGAUCUCAGUUCGGAUUGGAGGCUGCAACUCGCCUCCAUGAAGUCGGAAUCGCUAGUAAUCGCGGAUCAGCACGCCGCGGUGAAUACGUUCCCGGGCCUUGUACACACCGCCCGUCACACCACGAGAGUUUGUAACACCCGAAGUCGGUGAGGUAACCUUUUAGGGGCCAGCCGC
rnacentral:rRNA from 1 species